rnacentral:rRNA from 1 species
UACUCCUACGGGAGGCAGCAGUGGGGAAUAUUGCACAAUGGGCGCAAGCCUGAUGCAGCGACGCCGCGUGAGGGAUGGAGGCCUUCGGGUUGUAAACCUCUUUUAUCGGGGAGCAAGCGAGAGUGAGUUUAC